rnacentral:rRNA from 1 species
GACGAACGCUGGCGGCGUGCUUAACACAUGCAAGUCGAGCGAGAAACCUUCGGGUUUCUAGCGGCGGACGGGUGAGUAACACGUGGGUAACCUGCCUCAAAGAGGGGGAUAGCCUUCCGAAAGGAAGAUUAAUACCGCAUAAUAUUACAGUUUCGCAUGAAGCAGUAAUUAAAGGAGUAAUCCGCUUUGAGAUGGACCCGCGGCGCAUUAGCUAGUUGGAGAGGUAACGGCUCACCAAGGCAACGAUGCGUAGCCGACCUGAGAGGGUGAUCGGCCACACUGGGACUGAGAUACGGCCCAGACUCCUACGGGAGGCAGCAGUGAGGAAUUUUCCACAAUGGACGAAAGUCUGAUGGAGCAACGCCGCGUGCAGGAAGACGGCUUUCGGGUUGUAAACUGCUUUUAUUUGGGAAGAUUAUGACGGUACCAAAUGAAUAAGGAUCGGCUAACUACGUGCCAGCAGCCGCGGUAA